rnacentral:rRNA from 1 species
UACAGAGGUCUCAAGCGUUGUUCGGAUUCAUUGGGCGUAAAGGGUGCGUAGGUGGCGCUGUAAGUCAGGUGUGAAAUUUCGGAGCUCAACUCCGAAACUGCAUUUGAUACUGCGGUGCUUGAGGACUGGAGAGGAGACUGGAAUUUACGGUGUAGCGGUGAAAUGCGUAGAUAUCGUAAGGAAGACCAGUGGCGAAGGCGGGUCUCUGGACAGUUCCUGACGCUGAGGCACGAAGGCCAGGGGAGCAAACGGG